GGAUAAGAGUAGAAGUAAGGAUGACAUUUAAUUUACUCCAGGUGAGAUUAUAGGACUGGGUUAAGUAUUGGAGGAUUUGAUGAAAAGGAGCCUAACCGGUGGCCAAUUUGGGAAAGAUUGGCCAAAGAGAAAGGAAUGUGCACCUUAACUAUGCCUUUGGCUCCAGCCACCUCUGGAAGGGGGAAUUGUUGGGAGGGGCAGAGGAGGUAGCCGUGGGACUAAACUGUAAGCUGGGCCAAGUGUGAGGUGGGGAGGUGACAGGAGAGGCAUACGGAGGUGGGUU